CCUGUACUGUAUGGAUACGCCCCAAACCCUCUUCAAUACUUCCUGAAGGCCUCACUUCCUCCUGUCCUGUAUGGAUACGCCCCAAACCCUAUUCAAUACUUCCUGAAGGCCUCACUUCCUCCCCAAACCCUAUUCAAUACUUCCUGAAGGCCUCACUUCCUCCCCAAACCCUAUUCAAUACUUCCUGAAGGCUUCACUUCCUCCUGUCCUGUAUGGAUACGCCCCAAACCCUAUUCAAUACUUCCUGAAGGCCUCACUUCCUCCUGUACUGUAUGGAUAUGCCCCAAACCCUAUUCAAUACUUCCUGAAGGUCUCACUUCCUCCUGUACUGUAUGGAUACGCCCCAAACCCUAUUCAAUACUUCCUGAAGGCCUCACUUCCUCCUGUCCUGUAUGGAUACGCCCCAAACCCUAUUCAAUACUUCCUGAAGGCCUCACUUCCUCCUGUACUGUAUGGAUACGCCCCAAACCCUAUUCAAUACUUCCUGAAGGCCUCACUUCCUCCUGUACUGUAUGGAUACGCCCCAAACCCUAUUCAAUACUUCCUGAAGGCCUCACUUCCUCCUUACUGUAUGGAUACGCCCCAAACCCUAUUCAAUACUUCCUGAAGGCCUCACUUCCUCCUGUACUGUAUGGAUACGCCCCAAACCCUAUUCAAUACUUCCUGAAGGCCUCACUUCCUCCUGUACUGUAUGGAUACGCCCCAAACCCUAUUCAAUACUUCCUGAAGGCCUCACUUCCUCCCCAAACCCUAUUCAAUACUUCCUGAAGGCCUCACUUCCUCCCCAAACCCUAUUCAAUACUUCCUGAAGGCCUCACUUCCUCCUGUCCUGUAUGGAUACGCCCCAAACCCUAUUCAAUACUUCCUGAAGGCCUCACUUCCUCCCCAAACCCUAUUCAAUACUUCCUGAAGGCCUCACUUCCUCCCCAAACCCUAUUCAAUACUUCCUGAAGGCCUCACUUCCUCCUGUACUGUAUGGAUACGCCCCAAACCCUAUUCAAUACUUCCUGAAGGUCUCACUUCCUCCUGUACUGUAUGGAUACGCCCCAAACCCUAUUCAAUACUUCCUGAAGGCCUCACUUCCUCCUGUCCUGUAUGGAUACGCCCCAAACCCUAUUCAAUACUUCCUGAAGGCCUCACUUCCUCCCCAAACCCUAUUCAAUACUUCUUGAAGGCCUCACUUCCUCCCCAAACCCUAUUCAAUACUUCCUGAAGGCCUCACUUCCUCCCCAAACCCUAUUCAAUACUUCCUGAAGGCCUCACUUCCUCCUGUACUGUAUGGAUACGCCCCAUUGGUACCCUACAUAGUGCACUACUUCUGACCAGGGCACAUAGGAACCAUAGGGCUCUGGUCUAAAUUAGUGCACUAUAUAGGAUGGCAUAGGGCUCUGGUCUAAAGUAGUGCACUAUAUAGGAUGGCAUAGGGCUCUGGUCUAAAGUAGUGCACUAUAUAGGGAAUAGGGUUCUGGUCUAUAGUAGUGCAUAUGUGUGGUGUACCACAGGGCAGCUCUCUAGGCCCUCUACUCUGGUCAAAAUAGAAAAAUGACCUGCCGCUGGCAUUGAACAAAGCAUGUGUGUAAAUGUAUGAUGAUGAUUCAACCAGACACGCGUCAGCAACCACCGCUAAUGAAGUCACUGAAACCCUUAACAAAGAGGUUGCAGUCUGUUUUGGAAUGGGUGGACAGCAAUAAACUGGUCCUGGUUCACACUCCAGUCCAGUUGGUGGUGGUAAAACACCUUAAAGUUGGUUGCCAACCUCCAUAUAAAGAAGCCUGGAGGAGAGAUCACUAGAAACAAACUCGGUUUCCCCUUUUAUCUUUGGAUUAGUUGUCGGAGUAGAGAACACACAAUGUUUUGUGACUCAAAAUGGGUAAAAAGUCUACAAAGAUAAAGAAAAAAAAGGACUGCAUUUCAGGUAAAAGAACAACCCAGUGUUUAUUUUUGGGGCAGCAGGUAGCCUAGUGGUUAGAGGAGGCAGGUGGCCUAGUGGUUAGAGGAGGCAGGUGGCCUAGUGGUUAGAGGAGGCAGGUGGCCUAGUGGUUAGAGGAGACAGGUGGCCUAGUGGUUAGAGGAGACAGGUGGCCUAGUGGUUAGAGGAGGCAGGUGGCCUAGUGGUUAGAGGAGGCAGGUGGCCCAGGUGGUUAGAGGAGGCAGGUGGCCCAGGUGGUUAGAGGAGGCAGGUGGCCCAGGUGGUUAGAGGAGGCAGGUGGCCCAGGUGGUUAGAGGAGGCAGGUGGCCCAGGUGGUUAGAGGAGGCAGGUGGCCCAGGUGGUUAGAGGAGGCAGGUGGCCCAGGUGGUUAGAGGAGGCAGGUGGCCCAGGUGGUUAGAGGAGGCAGGUGGCCCAGGUGGUUAGAGGAGGCAGGUGGCCCAGGUGGUUAGAGGAGGCAGGUGGCCCAGGUGGUUAGAGGAGGCAGGUGGCCCAGGUGGUUAGGGGAGGCAGGUGGCCCAGGUGGUUAGGGGAGGCAGGUGGCCCAGGUGGUUAGGGGAGGCAGGUGGCCCAGGUGGUUAGGGCAUUGGGCCAGUAACCGAAAGGUAGCAACG